rfam:Thauera linaloolentis 47Lol = DSM 12138 Cont105, whole genome shotgun sequence.
GGCGCGAUGGCAGAGUGGUUAUGCAGCGGCCUGCAAAGCCGUGUACCCCGGUUCGAUUCCGAGUCGCGCCU